rnacentral:rRNA from 1 species
UGCCAGCAUCCGCGGUUAAACCUAUACCUAAAUUAUAGAUCAAAAGGUAUAAUGGUAAUUUAAUGAAAAGAAAUAAUAAUGGUUGAAUAUUAAAUAUUACCCCUAUCUUUGAAAAAUAAAACCAUGAAAAUAUCAAUUAGAACUAGGAUUAGAUACCCUACUACUAAAUAUUUUAAAAAAUCUACCUGGGUAUUAAAAGAAACCUUAAAACCUAAAGAGCUUGGCGGUCUUCCAUUAUAUCAGGGGAGCUUGUUACUUAAACGAUAAUCCGCGUUCAUUUUCACCUUUUUUUAUUGUUUGUAUACCUCCGUCCCGUCAAUCUUUAAAAGAAUUGACUUUAGAUUUUCCCUACAUCAGGUCAAGGUGCAGCACAAAAAGGAAGUAAUGAGCUACUAUGCUUACGCUUUGAUUUAUACCUAAAGUAAAAAUGAAAAAGUACUUGAGAGUAAUCUUUUCUUAAAACGUAAAGAUGAAAGUAACCUGGAAGGCGCACAAAUCGCCCGUCGGUCCCUCUUUUAAGUGGGAAAAGUCGUAACACAGUA